rnacentral:rRNA from 1 species
CCUACGGGAUGCAGCAGUGGGGAAUCUUCCGCAAUGGGCGAAAGCCUGACGGAGCAACGCCGCGUGAUCGAAUGAAGGCCUUCGGGUUGUAAAGAUCUGUUGACAGGGACGCAUAAGCCAUGCGAAUAGUUUGGUGUAUGACGGUACCUGUUUAGAAAGCUCCGGCUAACUACGUGCCAGCAGCCGCGGUAAUACGUAGGGAGCAAGCGUUGUCCGGAAUUACUGGGCGUAAAGGGCGCGUAGGUGGGUGCUUAAGUCAGGUGUGAAAACUCUGGGCUCAACCUGGAGACUGCAUGUGAAACUGGGUAUCUUGAGGGCAGGAGAGGAAAGUGGAAUUCCUAGUGUAGCGGGGAAAUGCGUAGAUAUUAGGAGGAAAACCAGUGGCGAAGGCGACUUUCUGGACUGUACCUGACGCUGAGGCGCGAAAGCGUGGGUAGCGAACGGGAUUAGAUACCCUUGUAGUC